UCCAUUUGCCCCUGUGAUCUGUGUUGGGAGGAAGAAAUCUUUUGAGUACCAAUUCACCGACUUGAUACCCCCGAGGGCGCACUUUCUAACCAAAUGCUUUCUUCAUUUGUCUCUGGCCGAGAUACGUCAAUUCUGGGUACGUAGUUCCAGCAUAGCACCAUUUCCUGUUGGUUUGAUUGAUGACCAAAGUUGAAUCCCCGUAUACAUCCAGGGUUUUAAUCUGUAUAUUGACAGCUUCCUCAAGUCUUAGGAUAUAAGCUUC
rnacentral:lncRNA from 1 species